GCCUGGGUAGCUCAGUCGGUUGAGCGCCCGACUUAGGCUCGGGUCAUGAUCUCGUGGUUCGUGAGUUCAAGCCCCACGUCGGGCA
rfam:Felis catus isolate Cinnamon breed Abyssinian chromosome F2, whole genome shotgun sequence.